GUAAGUAGCUCUAGAUUAUCUUGUUCGUGGUUGCUAUCACGUUCACCUAACUUGUAGCUACUGUUAUUCGGUAUAAAAUAAUCGCCCUCAUCACGUUAAUUGAAGUGUCCUAGGAUCGUUCUUUUUAGCAACAAACAGGGAAUCGCCGUUUGCCCAAGGAUGACUUUUAAACUUGGCUGAAAACGUCUCACCUCCAAUGAUUUAUCGACUGAAGUAGCUAGAAUGUUAUACAAGUCCACAAUAAUACCUUUACUCAGCAGCAUGAAAGAUGAAAUCCCCGCAUGCCAGUUGCCAGGCAAUAUUCAAGGAGUCCAAGUGUUACAGCAACAACAGGUGUAGGCGCUGUAACUGCUGGAGGUGUUAGCUACCUCCAAUGGAUGGUAAGCAACCCACCCGAAGAUUGAUAUGACGACGAUGCGGUUAACACUAAACAUCUAUCAACACAUACUUCAUCUUCCUCGGCACUUGGGGUGAGUAUUUAAUGUUAACGCCAGAUGUUCGUCUUCCCGUGCGUGGUCAAAGGCCCGACGGGUUGGCCGAAGGCCCCAACACCCCUGACAAAAUCCUUACCUAAGUCCACCUUUUACCUAACCCCGUGAGUUUAACCCAUAUUCAAGAGGCGAGCAUCUGGCCUAACAUAUUAUAUAUUUCAUAGUAUAAGUUUUUGUUUAUUUUAAAUGUUAUUUUUUUUUCUAAGUUUUGUAAUAUGAUUAAUCAAGUACAAAGUAAAGUUAAGAGUAAAUUAAUAUUAUUAGAAAAAAGGGUAAUUACAUUACGCACCAUUUAAAAAGAAAAAUAAAAAAAUUUAUUAGAUAAUUAGAUAAAAAAAUUUUAAAUUGAAUAUUUGUCAUGUGUGAAUAUUGUCAAAUGAAUAACGUAAAACGUAAAAUUUUCUGUGUCACUGUAGCUUUGCAUGGGUCUUUUGCUGAGCGCGAACUACAGCGCCAAGUAAAAAGUUUUCCGCUUACUUUUUUCUUGGUAAAGCAAUAACCUAAUAAAUAAUAAUCGAAAUUAAUAAAAAAAAAACCAAAAAAAAAAAUUAUGUACCUAAUCCAUUGGUCAAUUUCACUUUGCCCUUGUUGGAACCUUCCUUGUGAAUCUUGUAGUUGGGAAUAGUUGGCUCCUCGAAAGAAGAUUGCUAAAAAAAGAAUUAAAAAUAAAUAAGUUUUUUUAUGAAGAAAAAAA